UGCAAGUCGGACGGUAGCACAGAGAGGUUGGUUUCGUGUGAGAAGUGGGGGGCGCGUGAGUAAUGUGUGGGGAUCUGUGCGAUAUAGGGGGAUAUCCCCUGUGAACGGGGGGUAAUACCGCGUAUCGCGGCAAGAGCACAGAGGGGGACCUUUGGGGCUCUCUCUAUAUGAUGAGCCCCCAUGGGAUUAUAUAUAAGGCGGGGUAAUGGGCCCCCUAUGCGACAAUCCCUAUAUGUGCUGAGAGGAUGACCACACACACUGUGACUGUGACACGGGCCACACUCUUACACGAGGGGGAAGAGGGGAAUAUUGUGCAAUGGGGGCAAGACUGAUGUGGACAUGUCGCGUGUGUGAAGAAAGCCUCUUGGUUGUAAAGAACUUUCUCCGGGGAGGGAGGGGGGGCGGGUAAUAACCGCGCCGCUUGAGACUACCCCCACAAAAAAAACCGCGUAACUCUGCGCCACAAGACGCGGGAAUACAGAGGGGGCGAGAGAUAAUCUCAAUUACUGUGGGUAAAGAGCACACAGGCGGGCUGUKAARWCAGAUGUGAAAUCYCCGSGCUUAACCUGKGAACUGYRUUUGAAACUGKSAGGCUUGAGUCUUGURGAGRGGGGUAGAAUUCCAGGUGUAKCGGUGAAAUGCGUAGAGAUMUGGAGGAAUAYCGGUGGSGAAGGCGGCCCCCUGGACAAAGACUGACGCUCASGUGCGAAAGCGUGGGGAGCAAACASGAUUAGAUACCCUGGKAGUCCACGCCGUAAACGAUGUCGACUCKGGRGGUUGUUCYCUUGAGGAGUGGCUUCCGSAGCUAACGCGUUAAGUCGACCGCCUGGGGAGUACGGCCGCAAGGUUAAAACUCAAAUGAAUUGACGGGGGCCCGCACAAGCGGUGGAGCAUGUGGUUUAAUUCGAUGCAACGCGAAGAACCUUACCUACUCUUGACAUCCACGGAAUUUGGCAGAGAUGCCUUAGUGCCUUCGGGAACCGUGAGACAGGUGCUGCAUGGCUGUCGUCAGCUCGUGUUGUGAAAUGUUGGGUUAAGUCCCGCAACGAGCGCAACCCUUAUCCUUUGUUGCCAGCGAUUCGGUCGGGAACUCAAAGGAGACUGCCGGUGAUAAACCGGAGGAAGGUGGGGAUGACGUCAAGUCAUCAUGGCCCUUACGAGUAGGGCUACACACGUGCUACAAUGGCGCAUACAAAGAGAAGCGACCUCGCGAGAGCAAGCGGACCUCACAAAGUGCGUCGUAGUCCGGAUCGGAGUCUGCAACUCGACUCCGUGAAGUCGGAAUCGCUAGUAAUCGUGGAUCAGAAUGCCACGGUGAAUACGUUCCCGGGCCUUGUACACACCGCCCGUCACACCAUGGGAGUGGGUUGCAAAAGAAGUAG
rnacentral:rRNA from 1 species